rnacentral:rRNA from 1 species
CAUGCAGUCGAACGCUUCUUUUUCCACCGGAGCUUGCUCCACCGGAAAAAGAGGAGUGGCGAACGGGUGAGUAACACGUGGGUAACCUGCCCAUCAGAAGGGGAUAACACUUGGAAACAGGUGCUAAUACCGUAUAACAAUCAAAACCGCAUGGUUUUGAUUUGAAAGGCGCUUUCGGGUGUCGCUGAUGGAUGGACCCGCGGUGCAUUAGCUAGUUGGUGAGGUAACGGCUCACCAAGGCCACGAUGCAUAGCCGACCUGAGAGGGUGAUCGGCCACAUUGGGACUGAGACACGGCCCAAACUCCUACGGGAGGCAGCAGUAGGGAAUCUUCGGCAAUGGACGAAAGUCUGACCGAGCAACGCCGCGUGAGUGAAGAAGGUUUUCGGAUCGUAAAACUCUGUUGUUAGAGAAGAACAAGGAUGAGAGUAACUGUCAUCCCUGAUCGG